rnacentral:misc_RNA from 1 species
GAUGAAGAACGUAGCGAAAUGCGAUAAGUAAUGUGAAUUGCAGAAUUCAGUGAAUCAUCGAAUCUUUGAACGCAUCUUGCGCUCCUUGGUAUUCUGAGGAGCAUGCCUGUUUGAGUGUCAUUAAAUUCUCAACUACACUGACUUUGAAUUGGUGUGGCUUGGAUUUGGGGGGAAAAUUGUUGUGGGCUUUUUGUAUAGUCUGCUCCCCUGAAAUUGAUUAGCGGUACCUUUGUGGAACUGUCUACAGGUGUGAUAAUUAUCUACAUCUUAGACAUCUGCUGGAAUGCUGCUUUCUAAACCUUACUUGUAUUGACAAUCUUGACCUCAAAUUAGGUAGGACUACCCGCUGAACUUAAGCAUAUCAAUAAGCGGAGGA